rnacentral:rRNA from 1 species
GACGAACGCUGGCGGCGCACUUAACACAUGCAAGUCGAGCGAGAACCGGGGCUUCGGCCCCGGGGACAGCGGCGAACGGAUGAGUAACACGUGAGUAACCUGCCCUCGGCACCGGAAUAGCCCGGGGAAACCCGGAGUAAUGCCGGAGGGCCCCUCUGCCCUGCGGGGCGGCGGGAAAAGGUAGCUUCGGCCGCCGGCCGAGGGUGGGCUCGCGGCGGAUUAGCUUGUUGGCGGGGUAACGGCCCACCAAGGCGACGAUCCGUAGCUGGUCUGAGAGGACGAUCAGCCACACUGGGACUGAAACACGGCCCAGACUCCUACGGGAGGCAGCAGUGGGGAAUCUUGCGCAAUGGGCGAAAGCCUGACGCAGCGACGCCGCGUGCGGGAAGAAGGCCCUCGGGUUGUAAACCGCUUUCAGGAGGGACGAAGCCACUCGGGUGAACAGCCCAGAGGGUGACGGUACCUCCAGAAGAAGCCCCGGCUAACUACGUGCCAGCAGCCGCCGUAACAC